ACAACAUCUUUGAGUUCAUGAAUCCUGACGAUUAUCGGGAAGCUAUUAGGAUCUUGGAGAGUGCCAUUCUGUCAACCGAUUUGGCUAUCUACUUCAAGAAGAGGAAUGACUUCUUCAAGCUGGUUGAAAAAGGAGAGCACACGUGGGACAAUGAGGAAAAGAAGGGACUGCUCAGGGGUAUGCUAAUGACGGCAUGUGAUGUGUCUGCUAUAGCCAAGCCAUGGCGAGUCCAACAGAAAGUUGCCGAGUUGGUCUUCAGUGAAUUCUUUGAGCAAGGUGAUUUGGAGAGAGAGAAACUCAAAGAAGAACCAAUGGCGAUGAUGGAUCGCAAGAAGAAGGAUGAACUCCCUAAGAUGCAAGUGGGUUUCAUUGAUGGUAUCUGCAUGCCUGUCUACAAGAUGUUCGCUGAGCUGUGGCCAGACCUAAAACCGCUCGCAUCCGGAACUCAGCUCAACCGUGAUAACUGGCAAGCAUUGUCUGAAGGAAAAGAGCCAAAUGAACUUUGCUGAAUUUGAGCCGGCCCUAAGGCCGCUGCAGGAUGGGGUUGAGCAGAAUCGCCAGGAAUGGAAGAACCUGGCGGACCGCUACGAGCAAGCUAAGUCCCAAGACCCGAGGGAUAAUAAAGACUAACUCCCCUAUGUGCUGGAAUCUGCUUACACCUGCACACACAGAUGCAGACCUUCUUACUGGGGACCUCCAUGUAACUCCCUCCAAACAAGCAAACAAAUGGAAAGCACAAUUCUCCGGAAUGACAAUGCCCAACUGGCCAACCUUGCUGAAAAGCCUUCAUUGGAAUCCAUGUCAAAACAGGAUGGAAGUAGGGGUUCUUGCACCAGUGAGCCGAAGAAACGGGGUUCACAAAUGAGCCAACAAUGUAAGGAAGCCUUGGCAGCUAAGAAAAAUAAGAGCUCCCUUUGUUCAGUAAUUUGAUCUCGGCUUUAAACCAAUCAUUUGAAUCUCAAAAGUAUUAUCCAGAUAUCAUUAUAAAAUAUUAUAUUCAAUUUAUUCACAGUUUUUUGUUCAAAUUUGUGAAUGAUUAGCAUAAGUACAUGUAUGCUAUAUUAUUCAUUUUACAUCACUUCCAAGAGAUUAUAUUUGAUAUCUUAUUUCAUAUUUUUCAAGACUUUACAACAAUGCUGCCAAUAAUAGCAUAUUCAUAUGUGAUCAAAAUGUUAUGCAAUCUAUUGUUCAAUCCCAAUGAUUUAUUUUAAUUGGUGAAAAAUGUAUUUUGAUCAUCAUGGGUUUUAUUUUAAUAAUUGAAUAAUAAAAAUAUAAAUGAUUACUAUGUGAAACGGUCACUUAAAUUAAUAAUAAAUUGAUAUAUAGAUGAACCUUUAUAGCCAAAUUAGAUAGCAAUAUAAAACUUUUGUUAUUUCUAAUGAAAUAUCAGUCAGUUUGGAGUUUAUUUUUGUUGAUCUGACUCCAGCAUUAGGUAAGGAUGAUAUUGAACAUGAAAAUUGCAGAUGUUUUAUCUAAGAAAGGCAUGUCCAUUUCACUGUUAUUGGAUAUAAUAAUGAAAAUACUUUGUACUAUUUAUGUGGGUUGGAACACAACUCAGGCAAGUUUAUGAAAAGCAGUUCAACUCCAUGUGUUGCAUGCACAAAUUCAGAUCCAUUUUAUAUGGUAAUAUUCCAAUUUCAUUACACUCAGAAAUUAUGGAUUCGGCAUUCUGAAUAUGAGUAAUUUGAGUUGAUUUGAUU